GGGGUUGUGGCUCAGUGGUAGAGCGUGUGCCUAGCAUGUGCGAGACCCUGGGUUCUAUUCUCAGCACCA
rnacentral:tRNA from 1 species